rnacentral:rRNA from 1 species
CCCGCUGAACUUAAGCAUAUCAAUAAGCGGAGGAAAAGAAACUAACAAGGAUUCCCCUAGUAACGGCGAGUGAAGCGGGAAGAGCUCAAAUUUAAAAUCUGGUUUGCUUGCAAAUCCGAGUUGUAGUCUGAAGAAACGUUUUCCAUGAAAAUCGAGGCACAAGUCCUUUGGAACAGGGCAUCAUAGAGGGUGAGAAUCCCGUCCAUGGUCUCGAAUCUUUCAUUUUGUGAUACGUUUUCUAAGAGUCAGGUUGUUUGGGAAUGCAGCCUAAAAUGGGUGGUAAAUUUCAUCUAAAGCUAAAUAUUGGCGAGAGACCGAUAGCGAACAAGUACCGUGAGGGAAAGAUGAAAAGCACUUUGGAAAGAGAGUUAAACAGUAUGUGAAAUUGUUGAAAGGGAAACGAUGGAGGUCAGUCGUGUCUGUGGGAUUCAGCCGUCUCUGGCGGUGUACUUCCCACAGACGGGUCAACAUCAGUUUUGGCUGGCGGAUAAAGGCAGGAGGAAGGUGGCACCCCCGGGUGUGUUAUAGCCUCUUGUUGCAUACGCUGGCUGAGACUGAGGAAUGCAGCUCGCCUUUAUGGCCGGGGUUCGCCCACGUUCGAGCUUAGGAUGUUGACAUAAUGGCCUUCAACGACCCGUCUUGAAACACGG